rnacentral:lncRNA from 1 species
ACGCUUUGAUCCGCCAGACCCAGAACAUGUGGGCCUGGCAGCAAAGACCGCAUCUCGGCGCCGUGUGUGUGUGAAUGAACUCCUCUACAGCCCCUUGAUCUUAAAGGAGGGUCACCCUAAAGUGCCUCUGGAUGGUCCUUUGGGAAUAAGUGGGAGUGUUGGAUCGGGAAUGGGCUAGUUGCUUGCAUGCUCUAAUCAAAGCAUGAAAAAAAAACUAGUGCUUUGAAUCAACAGAUCCAGAGACAAUGGCCCCGAUGGGAUGGAGCCGGAAGGCGUCAUCGAGAGUAACUGGAAUGAGAUUGUGGAUAGCUUCGA